rnacentral:rRNA from 1 species
AAGCGUUAUUCGGAAUUAUUGGGCGUAAAGGGCGCGUAGGCGGCCUUUCAAGUGACGGGUGAAAGCCCUCGGCUUAACCGAGGAACUGCCUGUCAGACUGGAAGGCUUGAGACCGGGAGAGGUGAGUGGAAUUCCCAGUGUAGCGGUGAAAUGCGUAGAUAUUGGGAGGAACACCAGUGGCGAAGGCGGCUCACUGGACCGGUACUGACGCUGAGGCGCGAAAGCGUGGGGAGCAAACAGG